ensembl:snRNA U6 U6 spliceosomal RNA
GUGCUGCUUUAGCAGCACAUAUGCUAAAACUGGAAUGAUACAGAGAAAAUGAGCAUUGCCUGAGCAAGGAUAACAUGCAAAUUUGUGAAGCAAUCCGUAUUUUU